ACCUGGCUAGUUCAGUCAGUAGAGCAUGUGACUCUUGAUCUUGGGGUUGUGAGUUCAAGCCCCACGUUGGGUG
rfam:Ailuropoda melanoleuca scaffold2493_6, whole genome shotgun sequence.